rnacentral:tRNA from 1 species
GAAGUUAUAGUCAAUAAUGAUAUUUGAUUUGCAAUUGAAAGGUGCUUUUUAAGCUGACUUUA